ensembl:lncRNA
CUCGCAAUUGCGAGUUUAUUUCUCACAAUUCUGAGAAAAAUGUCAGAAUUAUCAGAUAAAAAGUGGCAAUUACUUUUUUUUUUUUUUUUUUCUUUUUUUUUUUGGUGACGGAAACAGACUUCCAAACAUAUCUCUCAAAACCAGACACCAAAAGCUUUCAGGAAACCUAUAAAGACAAAAGAGCAGAAAUGUUGUGCGGUGGAGUUUGAGCAGAAAUAGUUCAGAGAAACCACCAAAUCCAUCACUGCUGGACGGCCUGUUAACUUACGGGAAUAUUCUGGACCCAGCUGAAUGAGAUGGCAUACGGACAUGUUUGGACAUGAAAACAUUCAGCGUGACUCCAGUUUCAUAAAUACAUGGAGCGUAAUCAAAGAAUGAAAGAGCUGUCAGAUGCGAGUCAAAUCUGGAUGCGAUUCUGAAGGGAGCUUCUGAGAACAGGAUGAAGUUUUCCAGGUCAAGCGUGGCUACGAUCCGAAGAUUUACAGGACAGACGAGCAGAAAUCAGGCUGUCUGAGGAUUCAUGCAUAUGGCAGAGACUUCCUCACUGAAGAAGAACGAAGGAUGCUCUCAUCUGCUGAGAAAAACAACACUAAUCAUAAAAUGCAACUGACCGUAUCGACUUGUUCAGAUGGACAGCAAAAUAAUGCCCUCUUCCUCAAAAACCAUGAACAAACCACACAGUCUUAAAGAAAAUAUGACUACAGAUGACAUGAAGCACGAC